AGUUCGCAAAAGGACAUUUUUCCAUGUAAUGCCCACAAGGAGGAGGUGGGAGUCGAGCAUGUAGGUGUCAUAAGAAGCGGGCCAUGUAGCAAGGGAUUUUCCACAAGGAGGGGUCAUUGGUGGCAGCAAGUGUUACAAGUGUCAUGAAGUUGGCCACACCUCGAAAGGCUGUACGAAUCUAUUCGUGAAUUGACGAAAAAUGGAAAGCCGCGUGAACAAUACAUUCCGGAAGCUGUGACAUGCCAUGAAAAGGAACUGUUUAAGUGGGAUCGUCUGUGGGGAACGCUAUAACAAUUUUGAUAAAGUCGUUCUCCAUCGAAUCCAGGUUACAGGAAAAGAUGUACCUCAAUACAUAACAUCACUCGAAGAAGCCGGCCCGCGCCCACUACUACUUCAAAACAUUAAGAAUUCUGUCUACAUCAAACCAACACCUGUACAGAAAGCUUCAGUUGCAGUUCUUGCCAAAAAAGAUUUGAUUGC